rnacentral:rRNA from 1 species
GUCUACAGCCAUACCACCCUGAACAAGCCCGAUCCUGUCUGAUCUCGGAAGCUAAGCAAGGUCGGGCCUGGUUAGUAUUUAGAUGGGAGACCACUUAGGAAGACCAGGUGCUAUAGGUG